GGGGUUUUAAUGACACAGAGAAUUCCUCAAGUUGUUUAGAGAAGACAUCAUUCUCUCCCUGAUCAGAUGGUCAGUGAAAAACUCCCACUGCGACACCACCCUUACUGGUCUCUUCUCUGCUCCUCACCCAUAUGCCCUCAGCCAUCCUUACAAGUCAAGUCAACCUGUAUAUGAUAAAGUUGACAAAGUAGAGUGAGAACCAAAACCUCUGGCUAUUCUCUGAUCACCAAGACGAUGGCUGUCCACAGUCUCUACUAGGCCCUUUGGAGUCACAGCUGUCCAGGACAGUAAGAGUUAGGAAGAAAUAUAGGACACAGACAUGA